UCGCCGCCCGUGACUCGCGAGAAGUCCAUUGAACCUUAUCAUUUAGAGGAAGGAGAAGUCGUAACAAGGUUUCCGUAGGUGAACCUGCGGAAGGAUCUUG
rnacentral:rRNA from 1 species